rnacentral:rRNA from 1 species
ACUCCUACGGGAGGCAGCAGUGAGGAAUAUUGGUCAAUGGGCGCAAGCCUGAACCAGCCAUGCCGCGUGCAGGAUGAAGCAUCUAUGGUGUGUAAACUGCUUUUGUACGAGAAGAAACACUCCUACGUGUAGGAGCUGACGGUAU